UGGGGAAUAUUGGACAAUGGGCGCAAGCCUGAUCCAGCAAUGCCGCGUGGGUGAAGAAGGUCUUCGGAUUGUAAAGCCCUUUCGGCGGGGACGAUGAUGACGGUACCCGCAGAAGAAGCCCCGGCUAACUUCGUGCCAGCAGCCGCGGUAAUACGAAGGGGGCUAGCGUUGCUCGGAAUGACUGGGCGUAAAGGGCGCGUAGGCGGUGCAUUUGGUCAGGGCGUGAAAUUCCUGGGCUUAACCUGGGGACUGCGCUUGAGACGGGUGUGCUGGAGGGCAGGAGAGGCUCGCGGAAUUCCCAGUGUAGAGGUGAAAUUCGUAGAUAUUGGGAAGAACACCGGUGGCGAAGGCGGCGAGCUGGCCUGUACCUGACGCUGAGGCGCGACAGCGUGGGGAGCAAACAGGAUUAGAUACCCUGGUAGUCCACGCCGUAAACGAUGUGCGCUGGAUGUUGGGCGGCCUAGCCGCUCAGUGUCGUAGCCAACGCGGUAAGCGCACCGCCUGGGGA
rnacentral:rRNA from 1 species